ACUUAAAUUGAAGAGUUUGAUCAUGGCUCAGAUUGAACGCUGGCGGCAGGCCUAACACAUGCAAGUCGAGCGGUAGCACAGAGAGCUUGCUCUCGGGUGACGAGCGGCGGACGGGUGAGUAAUGUCUGGGAAACUGCCUGAUGGAGGGGGAUAACUACUGGAAACGGUAGCUAAUACCGCAUAAUGUCGCAAGACCAAAGUGGGGGACCUUCGGGCCUCAUGCCAUCAGAUGUGCCCAGAUGGGAUUAG
rnacentral:rRNA from 1 species